UACGCACGCUGGCGGCGUGCUUAACACAUGCAAGUCGAACGGAAAGGCCCUGCUUUUGUGGGGUGCUCGAGUGGCGAACGGGUGAGUAACACGUGAGUAACCUGCCCUUGACUUUGGGAUAACUUCAGGAAACUGGGGCUAAUACCGGAUAGGAGCUCCUGCUGCAUGGUGGGGGUUGGAAAGUUUCGGCGGUGGGGGAUGGACUCGCGGCUUAUCAGCUUGUUGGUGGGGUAGUGGCUUACCAAGGCUUUGACGGGUAGCCGGCCUGAGAGGGUGACCGGCCACAUUGGGACUGAGAUACGGCCCAGACUCCUACGGGAGGCAGCAGUGGGGAAUAUUGCACAAUGGGCGGAAGCCUGAUGCAGCAACGCCGCGUGCGGGAUGACGGCCUUCGGUUUGUAAACCGCUUUCGCCUGUGACGAAGCGUGAGUGACGGUAAUGGGUAAAGAAGCACCGGCUAACUACGUG
rnacentral:rRNA from 1 species